rnacentral:rRNA from 1 species
GGCUCAGGAUGAACGCUAGCUACAGGCUUAACACAUGCAAGUCGAGGGGAAACGAUAUUGGAAGCUUGCUCCGAUAGGCGUCGACCGGCGCACGGGUGAGUAACGCGUAUCCAACCUGCCCAUCACUUGGGGAUAACCUUGCGAAAGUAAGACUAAUACCCAAUGACGUCUCUAGAAGACAUCUGAAAGAGAUUAAAGAUUUAUCGGUGAUGGAUGGGGAUGCGUCUGAUUAGCUUGUUGGCGGGGUAACGGCCCACCAAGGCGACGAUCAGUAGGGGUUCUGAGAGGAAGGUCCCCCACAUUGGAACUGAGACACGGUCCAAACUCCUACGGGAGGCAGCAGUGAGGAAUAUUGGUCAAUGGACGAGAGUCUGAACCAGCCAAGUAGCGUGCAGGAUGACGGCCCUAUGGGUUGUAAACUGCUUUUAUAAGGGAAUAAAGUGAGUCUCGUGAGACUUUUUGCAUGUACCUUAUGAAUAAGGACCGGCUAAUUCCGUG